GCCUUUGUAGUUUAGUGGUAAAACUCCUCUCUUGUAAAGAGAAGUCGGAAGUUCGAUUCUUCCCAAAGGCACC
rnacentral:tRNA from 1 species